rnacentral:rRNA from 1 species
UACGAAGGGGGCUAGCGUUGCUCGGAUUGACUGGGCGUAAAGAGCGUGUAGGCGGCCAGGUAGGUCUGCUGUGAAAACUCGAGGCUCAACCUCGAGACGUCGGCGGAAACCAUCUGGCUAGAGUCCGGAAGAGGAGAGUGGAAUUCCUGGUGUAGCGGUGAAAUGCGCAGAUAUCAGGAAGAACACCCGUGGCGAAGGCGGCUCUCUGGGACGGUACUGACGCUGAGACGCGAAAGCGUGGGGAGCAAACGGG